rnacentral:rRNA from 1 species
AUUGAACGCUGGCGGCAUGCCUUACACAUGCAAGUCGAACGGUAACAGGUCUUCGGAUGCUGACGAGUGGCGAACGGGUGAGUAAUACAUCGGAACGUGCCCGAUCGUGGGGGAUAACGGAGCGAAAGCUUUGCUAAUACCGCAUACGAUCUACGGAUGAAAGCAGGGGACCGCAAGGCCUUGCGCGGACGGAGCGGCCGAUGGCAGGUUAGGUAGUUGGUGGGAUAAAAGCUUACCAAGCCGACGCUCUGUAGCUGGUCUGAGAGGACGACCAGCCACACUGGGACUGAGACACGGCCCAGACUCCUACGGGAGGCAGCAGUGGGGAAUUUUGGACAAUGGGCGAAAGCCUGAUCCAGCCAUGCCGCGUGCAGGAUGAAGGCCUUCGGGUUGUAAACUGCUUUUGUACGGAACGAAAAGACUCUUUCUAAUAAAGAGGGUCCAUGACGGUACCGUAAGAAUAAGCACCGGCUAACUACGUG